rnacentral:lncRNA from 1 species
UAGUCGAAUAACCUCAGCAGAUUUCGAAAAUAUUGUUUAAAUAUGAAACAAACGGAUUGAAUUUAUUUAUUCUCAUGUUCGUAUACUUUCUUUUGUAUGCCAAACCAUGGAAAUUAAAUUGAUUGAAGGCUCUUGAAGAGCAACUAUAACUCUGCCUAAAGGAACAAUAUUUUAAAGAAUGCAAUGUUCUCCUCCAAAUCUAAGAGGAACUUGUUGAGUUUUAAUGAUAUUAGUCAAAAUGUUCUCCUCCAAGUCUAAAAGGAACUUGUUGAGUUUUAGAGAUAUCAGUCAAAAUGGAUAUCAGAUUGAGACAAUACAUGAGUAUAAUCUUGAAUACCUCAUUUACUCAUGAAAACGAGGCUGCCCACUUCGGUUUGGGGUCACGCCNNNN